AUAAAAGGAUACCUUCGGGUAUACCCCAUCCGUGUCUACAUACUCUUGUUGCUUUGGCAGGCCGUGGUCUUCCACUGUGGGCUCUGCCUGCAUGUGCCUGCCAGAGGACCAAACUCUGAAUGUUAGUGACUGUCUGAGUACUAUAUAAUAGUUA
rnacentral:misc_RNA from 1 species